ACUCCUACGGGAGGCAGCAGUGGGGAAUAUUGCACAAUGGGGGAAACCCUGAUGCAGCCAUGCCGCGUGUGUGAAGAAGGCCUUCGGGUUGUAAAGCACUUUCAGUAGGGAGGAAGGUAGUGUAGUUAACACCUGCACUAUUUGACGUUACCUACAGAAGAAGCACCGGCUAACUCCGUGCCAGCAGCCGCGGUAAUACGGAGGGUGCGAGCGUUAAUCGGAAUUACUGGGCGUAAAGCGCAUGCAGGCGGCCUGUUAAGUCAGAUGUGAAAGCCCGGGGCUUAACCUCGGAAUUGCAUUUGAAACUGGCAGGCUAGAGUCUUGGUAGAGGGGGGUAGAAUUUCAGGGUGUAGCGGUGAAAUGCGUAGAGAUCUGAAGGAAUACCAGGUGGCGAAGGCGGCCCCCUGGACAAAGACUGACGCUCAGAUGCGAAAGCGUGGGGGAGCAAACAGGAUUAGAUACCCUGGUAGCACAGAG
rnacentral:rRNA from 1 species